CUCUCUCUCUCUCUCUCUCUCUCUCUCUCUCUCUCUCAGAUCCUUUGUCGUUCGUCUUCCGUUUCCAAAAACGGAGAGUACUGUGUGGAUCCGAAGAGGAAACUCUACACUUUUAGUGGAUCGGAUCGUCGUUUCGGAGAGUUUCGGGUUUUCCCAAGAAUCGAGGUUUUCGGGAUCUCGGGUUGUCGUUUUGGACCGUUUUCGUAUGAAGUUUCAUUUCGAGUAUAAGAGUUGAAAUAAACUACUGUUAUAUGAUACGGCGCGAUAUCGUAGCUAGAUGUACACGUGCCACCAUACAUACUACACGAUGUGGGUACCAAGAUGGUCGGCUAGCAGGGUGAAACCAUUAGCUGAUAUUAGGCCAAUGGAGGCCGUCGGAUCGUAAGUAGGUACUCGACAAUGCCUGCACGAACAGGGCAUUGGACGAGUAUCAGUGCACACCCGGGCCACGGGGUAAAACUGGUUAUAGAGAUAUUUUGUUGUUGGUCAUCUAAUAAAUCAUAAAAUGGUCGAAAGACAAAUGUGGGAAUUUUGUAAUAUGAAUAAUAUUAUAAUUGAUGGGUUACUGUAUUGAAAAUAUUUGAUUUAUAUUCCAGAUGUUGAAUGAAAAUAUGCAUGUAUGCAGUCACACACUGCUGUAACUCCUUCUUCCUUACUGAGAGGUGUCUCACCCUAUCAUACAACCUUUAUUUUCAGGUCCAUUAGUGCGUCAGUCCUAAUAGCUAAAAGGACUGGGAGAUUGUUUUUGAACAGCUUACGUAAGCAUUUGAAUCAUGUAGUAAAUCUUAGAUGAAGUUCC